GAUUUGGGAGGCUGCAAGAGAACCGGAACACAGGUGCUGCAUGGCUGUCGUCACUUUCCGUGUCGUAGAUGUUGGGUUAAGUCCCGCAACGAGCGCAACCCCGUCAUUAGUUGCUACGAAAGGGCACUCUAAUGAGACUGCCGGUGACAAACCGGAGGAAGGUGGGGAUGACGUCAAGUCCUCAUGGCCCUUAUGGGCAGGGCUUCACACGUCAUACAAUGGUCGGGACAGAGGGGUCGCCAACCCGCGAGGGGGAGCCAAUCCCAGAAACCCGAUCGUAGUUCGGAUCGCAGUCUGCAACUCGACUGCGUGAAGUCGGAAUCGCUAGUAAUCGCGGAUCAACAUGUCGCGGUGAAUACGUUCCCGGGUCUUGUACACACUGCCCGUCACACCAUGGGAGUGGGUUUUACCAGAAGUAGUUAGCCUAACCGUAAGGAGGGCGAUUACCACGGUAGGAUUCAUGACUGGGGUGGAAGUCGUAACAAGGUAG
rnacentral:misc_RNA from 1 species